GGGCGGUUAGCUCAGUUGGUUAGAGCAUCUCGUUUACACCGAGAGGGUCGGGAGUUCGAGUCUCUCACCGCCCACCA
rnacentral:tRNA from 1 species